rnacentral:lncRNA from 1 species
GGGGGAUGUAAGGAAGGUGACAGGGGGUCUUCUGGUGGUGGGGCAGAAGGGGUUGUAGACAUGACAUAUAGUUGGUAAUCUGGUGACGACUGAACACGUAAGGCACCUAUGAUCAUGUGAUUGAUGCCUUUUUUGAUGCAGGGGGCCACACAGCAGCAGACCACCCCCAACAGAGUCAGGAUGAGAAGGAAGGGAGUCACCAGACGAAAGAGUAGUUGUUGCCAGGUUCCUUGGAAAAACCAAUCCCACCACGAGGCUGCGGGGGUUUCGUCUGCAGUCAUGGCACCUUCCAGGUUCCUCAGCGACUGGAGGGAGUCCUCGAUGGAUUCUGAGCUGUUGUUGGGAAUGUUUGUAAACACUGAGGUAAGACUACGGGUGGUGUGGGAUAACUUCCACCCCACCGUUCCUACUGUUGCAGUAUGUAAAGGUACGUUCUCCCACGAUUGAUGCCACACCCCAUGUUUCUCCUGUGUUUGUAUAUACCAUUCAUAGUCCUGGUAGGAAUCACCCCACAGCCUACCACCACUAUGGCUUUGGAUCGUGAGACUCUUAAAAGGGAUGUCAAUUUUUACCACACGGUUGGGAUCAACGGAGAGGGGGACGCAGUACACAGCACCAAACGCAAGUGUUGUGGGGCAGCGGCCUAAAUAUGGUCCCCAUGGCUGAGCUAUGAGGCCUCCAUUGCAGCUGAUGACCAACAGGAAUCCCAAGAGGAGAUGGAGUGGUCCCAUACUUAUGGUUCAGGAGUUGUAUCUGGGGGAGAGGGUUUUUGUACCUUUUUCCCGUGUGACUGGUGUAUCCAGGUGUCCCUUUCAGCUAUCUUAAACGCAGUGGGUGUGGUCAGCAAUACCGUGUAAGGACCAUCCCAACGAGGCGUACACCAGUGUUUUCUCUUUAUCACCUUCACCAAUACCCAGUCACCAGGACGCAGGAGAUCUGAAACAGGCAAGGGAGAACUGGGCAGAUUAUUUGCAUUAACAACAGUUCUAUCUUCAAACAGUUUUAGCAUCCAUUUUGUGAUGAGAUCUAGUUCCCCCUCAUUCUCCUGCACCCAUACCGACUGUGUGAUGGGGAGGUGAAAAGGUCUCCCCGUAACUGUUUCAAAAGGGGUCAGACCUUGUGGAGUGGGCGUGAUGCGCAUGUAUGUCUCGACUAUACAAAUACAAUCUGGCCAUGGUCUAUUUGUUUGUUCCAUG